CCUACGGGGUGCAGCAGUGAGGAAUAUUGGUCAAUGGACGAGAGUCUGAACCAGCCAAGUAGCGUGAAGGAUGACUGCCCUAUGGGUUGUAAACUUCUUUUAUAUGGGAAUAAAAUGUUCCACGUGUGGGAUUUUGUAUGUACCAUAUGAAUAAGGAUCGGCUAACUCCGUGCCAGCAGCCGCGGUAAUACGGAGGAUCCGAGCGUUAUCCGGAUUUAUUGGGUUUAAAGGGAGCGUAGGUGGAUUGUUAAGUCAGUUGUGAAAGUUUGCGGCUCAACCGUAAAAUUGCAGUUGAAACUGGCAGUCUUGAGUACAGUAGAGGUGGGCGGAAUUCGUGGUGUAGCGGUGAAAUGCUUAGAUAUCACGAAGAACUCCGAUUGUGAAGGCAGUUCACUGGACUGCAACUGACACUGAGGCUCGAAAGUGUGGGUAUCAAACAGGAUUAGAUACCCGUGUAGUC
rnacentral:rRNA from 1 species